AUUGAACGCUGGCGGCAUGCCUUACACAUGCAAGUCGAACGGUAGCAGGUCUUCGGAUGCUGACGAGUGGCGAACGGGUGAGUAAUACAUCGGAACGUGCCUAGUAGUGGGGGAUAACUACUCGAAAGAGUGGCUAAUACCGCAUGAGAUCUACGGAUGAAAGCAGGGGAUUGCAAGACCUUGUGCUACUAGAGCGGCCGAUGGCAGAUUAGGUAGUUGGUGGGAUAAAAGCUUACCAAGCCGACGAUCUGUAGCUGGUCUGAGAGGACGAUCAGCCACACUGGGAAUGAGACACGGCCCAGACUCCUACGGGGGGCAGCAGUGGGGAAUUUUGGACAAUGGGCGCAAGCCUGAUCCAGCAAUGCCGCGUGCAGGAUGAAGGCCUUCGGGUUGUAAACUGCUUUUGUACGGAACGAAAAGCCCUGGGUUAAUACCCUGGGGUCAUGACGGUACCGUAAGAAUAAGCACCGGCUAACUACGUGCCGGCCGCCGCCGUAAUAC
rnacentral:rRNA from 1 species